rnacentral:pre_miRNA from 8 species
AGGAUUCCAGCGACUCGGGAGGGGCGGGAGGGGGGUCCCCGGUGCUCGGAUCUCGAGGGUGCUUAUUGUUCGGUCCGAGCCUGGGUCUCCCUCUCCCCCCACCCCCAGCCCCUCCGGCUGCUGAG